rnacentral:lncRNA from 1 species
CCAUUCCAAUGACUCCCAGCCCAUCUCAGUGACUCCCAGUCCAUCCCAGUUCCCUCCCAGUUCCCUCCCAGUCCAUCCCAGUUCCCUUUUAGUCCAUCCCAAUGAUUCCCAGUCCAUCCCAGUUCCCUCCCAGUCCAUCCCAAUGACUCCAAGUCCAUCCCAGUUCCAUCCCAGUUCCCUCCCAGACCCUCCCAGCCCAUCCCAUUUCCCUUCCAAUCCAUCCCAGUCCCCCCCAGUUCCCUCCCAGUCCAUCCCAGUUCCCUCCCAGUCCAUCCCAGUUCCCUUCCAAUCCAUCCCAGUCCAUCCCAAUGACUCCCAGCCUGUCCCAGUCCAUCCCAGUUCCCUCCCAAUCCAUCCCAAUUCCUUCCUAGUCCAUCCCAAUGACUCCCAAUCCAUCCCAAUGACUCCCAGUCCAUCCCAGUUCCCCCCCAGUUCCCUCCCAGUCCAUCCCAAUGACUCCCAGUCCAUCCCAGUUCCCUCCCAGUCCAUCCCAAUGACUCCCAGUCCAUCCCAAUGACUCCCAGUCCCCCCCAGUUCCCUCCCAGUCUGUCCCAGUUCCCUUCCAAUCCACCCCAAUGACUCUCAAUCCAUCCCAGUCCCCCCCAGUCCCUCCCAGCCCAUCCCAAUGAUUCCCAGUUCCCUCCCAGUCCCCCCCAGUCCACCCCAGUCCAUCCCAAUGACUCCCAGUCCAUCUCAGUGACUCCCAGUCCAUCCCAGUUCCCUUCCAAUCCAUCCCAGUGACUCCCAGUCCAUCCCAGUCCCCCCCAGUUCCCUCCCAGCCCAUCCCAGUGACUCCAGUUCCCUUCCAGUCCCUCCCAAUCCAUCCCAAUGACUCCCAACCCAUCCCAGUGCCUCCCAGUCCCUCCCAGUCCCCCCCAUUCCCUCCCAUUCCCCCCCAUUGCCCCCCAUCGUUACCGUUGAAGCGGUCGAUGGCCUCCUGCCUCAGUGCCCCCGUGAUGCCACCAUCAAUGCGCUCAUACUUGUAGCCCUCGUACUCCAGAAAGUCCUCCAGCAAGUCCAACAUCUUCGUCAUCUAUAGAUGGGGGGGUUGGGGUGUUUUGGGGUGGUUUUGGGGGUUUUGAGGUGUUUUUGGGUUUUGGGGUGGGUUUGGGGUGGUUUGGGGUGGUUUUGGGGGUUCUGGGGUGAUUUGGGGUGGUUUUGAGGUGGUUUUGGGGUGAUUUGGGGUGGUUUUGGGGGUUUUGAGGUGUUUUGGGGUGGUUUUGGGUUUUGGGGUGGGUUUGGAGUGAUUUGGGGUGGUUUUUGGAUGGUUUGGGGUGAUUUGGGGUGGUUUUGAGGUGGGUUUGGGGUGAUUUCGGGUGGUUUUGGGGUGUUUUGGGGUGGUUUUGGGGUGGUUUUGGGGUGGUUUGGGGUGGUCUUGAGGGUUCUGGGGUGGUUUGGGGUGGUUUUGGGGUUUUGGGGUGGUUUUGGGGGGGUUUGGGGUGGUUUUGGGGUGGUUUUUGGGUUUUGGGGUGGUUUGGGGUGGUCUGAGGUUGUUUUGGGGUGGUUUUGGGUUUUGG